UACGGAAGGCAGCAGUGGGGAAUAUUGCACAAUGGGCGAAAGACCUGAUGCAGCUAUGCCGCGUGUAUGAAGAAGGCCUUAGGGUUGUAAAGUACUUUCAUCGGGGAGGAAAAAACAAAACUAAUAAUUUUAUUUCUUGACGUUACCCGAAAAAGAAGCACCGGCUAACUCCGUGCCAGCAGCCGCGGUAAUACGGAGGGUGCUAGCGUUAAUCAGAAUUACUGGGCGUAAAGAGCACGUAGGUGGUUUUUUUAAAGUCAGAUGUGAAAAUCCCUGGGCUUAACCUAGGAACUGCAUUUUGAAACUGAAAUACUAGAGUAUCGUAGAGGGAGGUAGAAUUCUAGGUGUAGCGGUGAAAUGCGUAGAUAUCUGGAGGAAUACCUGUGGCGAAAGCGGCCUCCUAAACGAAUACUGACACUGAGGUGCGAAAGCGUGGGGAGCAAACAGGGAUUAGAUACC
rnacentral:rRNA from 1 species